AACGAACGCUGGCGGCAUGCCUAACACAUGCAAGUCGAACGAGACCUUCGGGUCUAGUGGCGCACGGGUGCGUAACGCGUGGGAACCUUCCCUUAUGUUCGGAAUAACUCUCCGAAAGGGGUGCUAAUACCGGAUAAUGUCUUCGGACCAAAGAUUUAUCGCCUUUGGAUGGGCCCGCGUUGGAUUAGCUAGUUGGUAGGGUAAAAGCCUACCAAGGCGACGAUCCAUAGCUGGUCUGAGAGGAUGAUCAGCCACACUGGGACUGAGACACGGCCCAGACUCCUACGGGAGGCAGCAGUGGGGAAUAUUGGACAAUGGGCGAAAGCCUGAUCCAGCAAUGCCGCGUGAGUGAUGAAGGCCUUAGGGUUGUAAAGCUCUUUUACCCGGGAUGAUAAUGACAGUACCGGGAGAAUAAGCUCCGGCUAACUCCGUG
rnacentral:rRNA from 1 species